rnacentral:lncRNA from 1 species
GCUCCAUGAAGUUUCCCUUGGCCAAAAACAAACUAAACCUUCUCCAAGUUCAAAGCAUUCGGCAAACCAUAGCAAGGCAGAGCACCAGACUCAUAAACCUGAUUUCCAUGACAAAUAUGGUAAUUCUGUAUUAGCUGGUGGAGCCACUUUCCUUAUUGCUGUCUGAACUUAGGCAGCAACAGGAAUUGGAAUAGAACAGAACCUGUGCCCUGUUGCCAGAGUCAUCCUAAAGGAAUGGAGAAGUCAGUAAUCAUGCCAGCUGAUGUAAUACUGAAUUGUUUCAAAACCAUCUCAUAAUUGAUGCCAAGUAAAAGUACCGUGUGCCUAUUAAAUAUGGCAUAGUGGAAAAAUAAAGUACACUUGAGAGCUUAAAAAAAA